UACGUAGGGACCAAGCGUUGUUUGGAUUUACUGGGCGUAAAGGGCGCGUAGGCGGCAUGACAAGUCACUUGUGAAAUCUCCGGGCUUAACUCGGAACGGUCAAGUGAUACUGUCGCGCUAGAGUGCGGAAGGGGCAAUCAGAAUUCUUGGUGUAGCGGUGAAAUGCGUAGAUAUCAAGAGGAAUACCUGAGGUGAAGACGGGUUGCUAGGCCGACACUGACGCUGAAGCGCGAAAGCCAGGGGAGCAAACGGG
rnacentral:rRNA from 1 species